GUGUAGGAAAGAAUGAAUCUGAUGUUGUAAGGGCAUUAUUGCCACCAUGGAACUCCUAUGUGCCGUUUGUUCAAUGCGUCCUCAAUGGGAAUAGAAACUGUCGAUGAAUCUAUUGGUUGCAGUGCAAAGAUGGAGUUUCUCUUCUGGCCACAUUUGAUAGUGGUAACUAAGGAGUAACCAGGUUUAGCCGCAGCUAUGGUUCCAUCAGUGCUUAUCAAAGUGGGACAGGAAAAUCUGUAAACUUGGUCGAACGAGUCUCAAGCUCCGUGAAAAUGAUGCUACCAAGCAGAUUCCCACUAAACCUGGGACAACACAAAAAAGACAAGUCUUGAGCUCCGUGAAAAUGAUGCUACCAAGCAGAUUCCCACUACACCUGGGACAAUACAAAAAAGAAAACACUCGAACUGUACUGGAAAGCGAAAGGCAAGAACUGCUCCAAAAUCGCAGGGCAUGGCUUCUGGGACGGGAAGAGGCGAAGCGUCUGUUGGAAGUAGAACGAGAGAAGGCAGCCAAAUUGGAACAGGAAAAAGGGGGGAUAUUAGUUGACCAGUAUAUUGGAUUGAAACGGAAGAGUUACGGGCAGAAAUAGGAACCUGGAAAGCUGCUGUAGUCACAAAAUUGGAGAGUGACCCAGCCAGUAUUGGUCGGUCACGGAUGUCUGCCCCACCA
rnacentral:lncRNA from 1 species